GAUGAACGCUGGCGGCGUGCCUAAUACAUGCAAGUCGAGCGAACAGACGAGGAGCUUGCUCCUCUGACGUUAGCGGCGGACGGGUGAGUAACACGUGGAUAACCUACCUAUUAGACUGGGAUAACUUCGGGAAACCGGAGCUAAUACCGGAUAAUAUAUUCAACCGCAUGGUUCAAUAGUGAAAGACGGUUUUGCUGUCACUUAUAGCUGGAUCCGCGCCGUAUUAGCUAGUUGGUAAGGUAACGGCUUACCAAGGCGACGAUGCGUAGCCGACCUGAGAGGGUGAUCGGCCACACUGGAACUGAGACACGGUCCAGACUCCUACGGGAGGCAGCAGUAGGGAAUCUUCCGCAAUGGGCGAAAGCCUGACGGAGCAACGCCGCGUGAGUGAUGAAGGUCUUCGGAUCGUAAAACUCUGUUAUUAGGGAAGAACAAAUGUGUAAGUAACUAUGCACGUCUUGACGGUACCUAAUCAGAAAGCCACGGCUAACUACGUG
rnacentral:rRNA from 1 species